rnacentral:rRNA from 1 species
AAACUUUYAMCAACGGAUMUCUYGGUUSUGGCAUCGAUGAAGAACGCAGCAAAAUGCGAUAAGUAAUGUGAAUUGCAGAAUUCAGUGAAUCAUCGAAUCUUUGAACGCACAWUGCGCCCGCCAGUAUUCUGGCGGGCAUGCCUGUUCGAGCGUCAUUU